rnacentral:rRNA from 1 species
CGCGUAGGCGGAUGAUUAAGUCAGAUGUGAAAGCCCAGGGCUUAACCUUGGAACUGCAUUUGAUACUGGUCAUCUAGAGUACAGUAGAGGGGGGUGGGAAUUCCAGGUGUAGCGGUGAAAUGCGUAGAGAUCUGGAGGAACAUCAGUGGCGAAGGCGACCCCCUGGACUGAUACUGACGCUGAGGUGCGAAAGCGUGGGUAGCGAACA